UGCGUAGUGCCCUGAGAGUUGUCAAGGUUUUUGGUUGUGGAGUAUCCGAGAGGGGAGCAAGGGCGGCUACGGUUCUACAAUGCCGAAUAAAUCAAAGAAGGAAAAGGAGUCCCCUAAAUCUGGCAAAGUGAGUAAGAGUGGAGGACAGGAGAAUGAGCAUGAGCAGAGCUCUAACAGGAAGACUAGCAACAGUGUUCCUCCCACCACUCAGCUGCUAAAGGGGAAGCAGCCAGGUUCCCAGACACCUGUCAAAAAGGACAAGAGGCAGAGUUCCUCUCGCUUCAGCUUGAGCAACAACAGGGAGCUGCAGAAACUGCCUGCUUUUAAAGAUGUUCCCCCGGCAGAGCAGGAGAAGCUGUUCAUCCAGAAGUUGCGGCAGUGCUGCGUCCUCUUCGAUUUCGUUUCGGACCCACUGAGUGAUCUGAAAUGGAAGGAGGUGAAACGGGCAGCACUGAGCGAGAUGGUGGAGUACAUCACCCACAACAGGAAUGUCAUCACAGAACCCAUUUACCCAGAAGUGGUUCACGUGUUUCUAGUGAAUAUGUUCAGGACGUUGCCGCCAUCAUCAAACCCCACGGGUGCAGAGUUUGACCCAGAGGAGGACGAGCCCACGCUAGAGGCUGCAUGGCCUCAUCUACAGCUCGUCUAUGAAUUCUUCCUACGGUUCUUAGAGUCUCCGGACUUUCAGCCAAACAUAGCCAAAAAGUAUAUCGACCAGAAGUUUGUAAUGCAGCUCUUAGAUCUGUUUGACAGUGAAGACCCAAGGGAAAGAGAUUUUUUAAAGACCACUCUACAUCGCAUCUAUGGAAAGUUCCUGGGCCUUCGAGCGUACAUUAGGAAACAGAUAAAUAACAUAUUUUAUAGCUUCAUUUAUGAGACUGAACAUCAUAAUGGAAUAGCAGAAUUACUGGAAAUAUUAGGCAGCAUAAUCAAUGGAUUUGCAUUACCACUAAAAGAAGAGCACAAGAUAUUCCUUCUCAAAGUUCUACUGCCUCUACACAAAGUCAAGUCUCUCAGUGUAUAUCACCCACAGUUGGCCUACUGUGUGGUUCAGUUCUUAGAAAAGGAUAGCACCCUCACAGAACCGACCGUGAUGGCUUUGUUAAAGUAUUGGCCAAAGACCCACAGUCCAAAAGAGGUGAUGUUCCUCAAUGAGCUGGAGGAGAUCCUGGACGUCAUCGAACCCACAGAGUUUGUCAAAGUCAUGGAGCCUCUCUUCAGGCAGCUGGCCAAGUGUGUGUCCAGCCCGCACUUUCAGGUGGCAGAACGGGCCCUGUACUACUGGAACAACGAGUACAUCAUGAGCCUGAUCAGCGACAAUGCCGCCAAGAUCCUGCCCAUCAUGUUCCCCUCCCUCUACCGCAACUCCAAGACCCACUGGAACAAGACGAUCCAUGGUUUGAUCUACAACGCUCUCAAACUCUUUAUGGAGAUGAACCAGAAGCUGUUUGAUGACUGCACCCAACAAUUCAGAGCCGAGAAGAGCAAAGAGAAGGCCAAAUGGAAAGAGAGAGAGGAAGCGUGGCUGAAGAUUGAGAACCUUGCAAAAUCAAACCCACAGUUUCUGAUAUACAUCGACUCUAUGGGUCCAGACGGUCCAAUAGAUAUGGAGACAGAUGGGCCGCUGCUUGAUGAUGUCAACCUCCUCAAGAAAACCGUAGAAGAAGAAGCCACACAGGUCAGGAAUGAAGAAUCAGAGUAGCCUUGAUGUGUAAGGCAAGGAUUUGUGGAUGUGCAUUUGUCCACUGUUGUUUACUAUUCAAAAAGAUCAGCGAAGAGAACGCCCGUUGGUGCGGAGGAAAUCAGAACUCCCCAGGGACAUCUGCACUGUCACAGCACUGGAGUUGCACAGGAGGGCUGAGGAGAUGUUGACAACGCAUGAUGGCCACUAGGAGGCCAGCCGAGAUCCACCCUAAACCAGCAGCAACAGCAUCCACAGAAGAACCACAGGCCCACAGAGGCCAGCACAACAACACAUCUCUGGUAUCUCAGUCCAGACCAGCACAAACCCAGAACUGAACUGCCCCAGCUCCACAUGACACAGAAAAUGUCUACAGUUACACAGCUUAGCCUGCUGGGCUACAUCAGGACAAAAGGUGCUGGAUGGUCAAGACCGCCACAUGCACCAGGCUCUGAACUUCACCCAAGAUACUGUAGUCUUGUCAUCUCUCUUUUUCUCCCUCGUUUCUCUUUAUUUCCUAUCCUCUUAACUUGUUGUGUUUUUUCGGCGGUGCUAUGCUGCCUCCUUCUGGUCAUUUCUCUCAGGUGUUCUGUUAUUUGUGUGUGAGUGUGUGUGGGAGCGGUCUUCUCCUCUUGCCUCUUCUUUAUAAAUGUCAUGUGCUUGUUUGUAUAAUAUAAACUCCCUUCACUGAGGACAUCUUUGGUUUAACCUGUAAUUAAAAAAAUAUCUAUAUAGAAAAUAUCAGUUUUUUUCUAUAUAUUACAAAUCAGCUAUUUUCUCAUGACAUUGGAACAGGACAGGUGUUUAUAUUUUUCCCCUACAUGCUAUAUUUGAAGCUAUUCUUAGCUCAGACACCCCUCCUAUCCAUAAAACAUUUCUGUUUGAAAUUGUCUUUAUUUCACAGCUAAUUUGUCCAUUAGCUGUGAAGAUUUAUUGAUCAUUCUGUGAAUCAGAACAGGGCGGUCUUCUGGAUUAAAAGUGUUCAUCAAGGAGUGCUGGUUGAUUUUUAUUCCUAUUUAAAAGUCUAGCUGAAUGCCAACAUCUGUCAUUAGUUCAGUCCCUUUUCUGAAAAACAAAACAUGUUUCUUGUGUAGGCAAUAAGUUCAAACAGGUAGCAGUGAGUGUCGGCAGCUUGAAUGGUUCCAUGGUUUGUUAUUUCAAGUGUAGAUUAGUCACCUGGAUGGGUCCACGCUGUUACACGGGCCAGACAAACGGGGCAGAAACUGCUGGAAUUGAUCGCUUUCUUUUCUUCUCAAGCAAGCAAGACCCUUUUAUUUAUAAAACACUUGUUGGGGGAUUUGACUGCUUAUUACAUGAGGUGUGUUUGGUUUGAAGAGGUCAAACAUGAGCCUUGCUUUUUCACAGUGCCUUUUAUAGUCUAAGGGGAAAAUUGCUCAACUGAGAAUCGAGUAGCAGCAUGAGCUAAAAUGCCAGAUCAUUAAUAAAAAAAAAAAAAGGAACAUUUGUUUCAAGAAACACGUCUGGGUAAUGCUCAAAAGAAGAAAAGCAGAGUGGUCGCCCUAAACCCCUUCAGCAAUGAAGCACUUCCUGAAAAAACUUGAAAGAAAAUAGAAACGCAAUUUAAAAAAACAACAAAAAAAAAACCAGAAAAACACCUUGUAAAAGAAUUGAAAUCCUUGAUGCUGUCUGUUGUUGUGUGCGGCGGGGUCACCUCCUUUGGGUGCCUGUCGAUAAGAGCUAGCCUCCACAGGAGAGGAAAUCACCUCCCAUUGUGACUUUCCCCAUUCUGUGCCCCCCCCCCCCCUCCACUGCCCCAUUCCCCUUUAUAUUUGUGACAUAGUUCGACCACCUCUGCCAUGACCUGCACUCUGGCUGUGAAGCCAAGUGGUUCAGUGAAAUCCUACUCCUCCUCCCCCCCCUCCCUCCCGUAGGGCUUGUUCUGUGGACAUCUGUUUGAUCUGCUUCUGGAUGCUUGCGACUUCUUUUUUGUUGUUGUUGUGAUUUUAUUCUUCCUUUGCCUGUAGAAGCUCUCAUCAGUGUUUCAACUGAAUGUGCAAAUUGUAAAUAAUAAUACUACUGCUGUCACGAUGUUACGUUUUCGCCACGUUUGUCUUGAAGAGCAACAUUCACCGAAGGAUUUCACAAAAACCCUCAUCCCCUCCUUACCCUGGUUUUUGAUGAAAAGAAAGAGAAUGAUUCUGCAUCCUGAGUGUGUUACUUGUCACACAGGAGUGUCCCAUUGGUGACUGUUGUUCUUCUUGAAAUGGCUUUAAUAUUGGCUUCGUUGGAGCUCUCUUCAUCUUACAUAAGCUUUGUUUUCUUUGUAAAAAAAAAAAAAAAACAAGAAGCAUUUUAGUAUCAGCUCAUACUAAAAGGCUUCAUCUAUUGUACAUAUAAAGUACUUUAAUGUUAUGUUAUAACUAUUAUUGAAUGGUAGAUUUCAUAUUUUGUACCAAAUACUCUGUGUACAGAAUACAGAGGAUAUUAGCUACUGGAGACACACUUGGUAUGUGGCACAGACUUCAAUACAUGGGACAGUCUCCGUUUAGAAACCAACUAGAAUUUGGAUAGUUUUUUUUAUUUUUAUUAAUCUAUUUGUAAUCUGGCCUCUUCUCCGUUAUUUUGUUUUCCAUCUUCAGACGUGUUAAGUUUCUACAUACAUGAGCUUUUUAUGUGUGCUUUUAUCCAAAUAUCCAGUGGUGUACAUCUAUCUAUAUACAGCAAAUAAAGAGAACAUGUGAGUUUUAUAUUUUCAUCCUAAGAAAA